rnacentral:rRNA from 1 species
GACGAACGCUGGCGGCGUGCCUAAUACAUGCAAGUAGAACGCUGAAGGAGGAGCUUGCUUCUCUGGAUGAGUUGCGAACGGGUGAGUAACGCGUAGGUAACCUGCCUGGUAGCGGGGGAUAACUAUUGGAAACGAUAGCUAAUACCGCAUAAGAGUAGAUGUUGCAUGACAUUUGCUUAAAAGGUGCAAUUGCAUCACUACCAGAUGGACCUGCGUUGUAUUAGCUAGUUGGUGAGGUAACGGCUCACCAAGGCGACGAUACAUAGCCGACCUGAGAGGGUGAUCGGCCACACUGGGACUGAGACACGGCCCAGACUCCUACGGGAGGCAGCAGUAGGGAAUCUUCGGCAAUGGACGGAAGUCUGACCGAGCAACGCCGCGUGAGUGAAGAAGGUUUUCGGAUCGUAAAGCUCUGUUGUAAGAGAAGAACGAGUGUGAGAGNGGAAAGUUCACACNGNGACGG